GCUUCGGCGGGCCCGCCGUUUCGACGGCCGCCGGGGAGGCCUUGCGCCCCCGGGCCCGCGCCCGCCGAAGACCCCAACAUGAACGCUGUUCUGAAAGUAUGCAGUCUGAGUUGAUUAUCGUAAUCAGUUAAAACUUUCAACAACGGAUCUCUUGGUUCCGGCAUCGAUGAAGAACGCAGCGAAAUGCGAUAAGUAAUGUGAAUUGCAGAAUUCAGUGAAUCAUCGAGUCUUUGAACGCACAUUGCGCCCCCUGGUAUUCCGGGGGGCAUGCCUGUCCGAGCGUCAUUGCUGCCCUCAAGCACGGCUUGUGUGUUGGGCCCCCGUCCCCCUCUCCCGGGGGACGGGCCCGAAAGGCAGCGGCGGCACCGCGUCCGGUCCUCGAGCGUAUGGGGCUUUGUCACCUGCUCUGUAGGCCCGGCCGGCGCCAGCCGACACCCAACUUUAUUUUUCUAAGGUUGACCUCGGAUCAGGUAGGGAUACCCGCUGAACUUAAG
rnacentral:rRNA from 1 species